CCCGAGAGCAAUAAAAACUCCCGCAGAAAGCGAAACACGCCGCAGUUAUUCCCGCCCGCCACACGUAACCCGUCUCACCGUCCCCCCAUUUCAAAUCACCGCCGCCGACCGACGGGUGGGCCGCGCGGGGGUACUACCCCGGCAGCUCAGCGUAACUGCGCCGCCACGUGGUCAACGUGGUCCCCACCUACGCUGCGUCGAGCAAGGGGUAGCAGUACAGCCUCCUCCGCCUCCUCCUUCCUCCCCGUGCUGCUGCGCUGCUUCUUCUGCGGCGUGGCGUCUCGCUUUUAAAAUCUCGCGACGCAGCGGCCUCUCUUCUCUUUUGGAUUGAAUGGAGCAGGCCAUGUGAAGCCUCUGACCUUCGGAUACCUACCCCUCCCUCCGCCUCGCUCGCCCGUCCGCGCCGCGCCGCGCCCCACCGCCGCGUGCGUGCGUGCGUGCGUCGCCUUGCGGGCGAGAUCCGCGAUGUCCUCGCGGCCGUCCUCGUCGUCCUCGUCGAGGCGGAGCAGCUCGCCCUUCUCCGCGGGGAGCCGCCGCCCGCCGACCUCCUCCUCCUCCUCCAGCUCCUACAUGGCCGGGCGGCUCAUCCCCCGCUCCUCCUCCUCCGUCUCCUCGUACGGCGGCGGCGGGGGCUCGAGGUCCACCACCCCCGGACGCCGGUCCGCCCCCGCCCCGCCGCCGCCUCCUGCUCCGGUGCCGUUCCCUAGCGCGGACGAGCUCGUCAUUGAGGACACCUCCCGAUCAGGCGACAGCAUCUCCGUCACCAUCCGCUUCCGGCCACUCAGCGAACGGGAGAUCCAGCGCGGCGACGAGAUCACGUGGUAUCCCGACGGGGAUCGGCUUGUGCGGUGUGACUACGUCCAGCCAUCGGCUUAUGGUUAUGAUAGAGUUUUUGGGCCUUCAACAGCUACAGAGGCUGUCUAUGAUGUUGCUGCUCGGCCUGUUGUGAAAGGUGCUAUGGAGGGCAUAAAUGGGACAGUUUUUGCCUAUGGUGUCACAAGCAGUGGGAAAACCCACACAAUGCAUGGUGACCAGAAUUGUCCUGGAAUAAUCCCAUUAGCCAUCAAGGAUGUCUUCAGCUUAAUACAAGAGGUGAUAAAUGAUCUGCUUGAUCCUACUGGACAAAAUCUGCGUGUGAGGGAGGAUGCACAGGGAACAUAUGUAGAAGGAAUAAAAGAAGAAGUUGUACUUUCUCCUGGACAUGCUCUCUCUUUCAUAGCUGCUGGCGAAGAGCAUCGGCAUGUUGGUUCAAACAACUUCAACUUAUUUAGCAGCCGAAGUCAUACUAUUUUCACUAUGAUGAUUGAAAGCAGUGAUCGUGGUGAUGAGUACGACGGAGCCAUGUACUCACAGCUUAAUUUGAUUGAUCUAGCUGGCUCAGAGAGUUCUAAGACAGAGACUACGGGGUUAAGAAGAAGGGAAGGAUCUUAUAUUAACAAGAGUCUUUUAACUCUCGGAACAGUUAUCGGGAAGCUCAGUGAAGGGAGAGCAACACAUAUACCCUAUCGAGAUUCUAAGUUGACUCGUCUGCUGCAGUCAUCACUGAGUGGCCAUGGUCACGUCUCACUAAUUUGCACAAUUACCCCAGCAUCGAGUAACAUGGAGGAAACCCAUAAUACAUUGAAAUUUGCAAGCAGAGCAAAACGUGUUGAAAUUUAUGCCUCUCGUAACCGGUUAGUUGAUGAGAAGUCUUUGAUCAAGAAGUAUCAGAGAGAAAUAUCAUCUCUAAAGCAAGAGCUUGAUGAGUUUAGGAGAGGAAUGCUUGGGGGUGCUAGUCAGGAAGAAAUAAUGAUUUUACGGCAACAGUUGGAAGAGGGCCAGGUAAAAAUGCAAUCUCGCCUUGAGGAGGAAGAGGAUGCCAAAGCUGCUCUGAUGAGCAGAAUACAGCGGUUGACCAAGUUAAUACUUGUUUCCACGAAGACCAAUAUUCCUGUUUUGACAGAUUCGUCUCGUCUUCAGCACCAAAAUUCUGUUAGUGAGGAAGAUAAGCUAAGCUCUUCCCAAGAUAGUACUACGGUAGUCCAAAAUGACAGUACAUCAAAGGACACCUUAUCAUCUGCUUUGCCUGAUCCGUUGGAUGAGAUCAAUGGACUAAGGUCUGCUAGCGGAGAUCCUUCUUCAGUAACUGGUUCAGGACAAGAUUCAAUGCAGGUGGGAAUCACGGAAUCGGAUCAUUUGGAUCUAUUGAUUGAGCAAGUUAAGAUGCUUGCUGGGGAGAUUGCUUUUGGUACCAGUUCGCUGAAAAGAUUAAUUGAACAAUCAAUAGAAGACCCUGAAGGGACAAAGAAUCAAAUAGAGAAUCUAGAGCAUGAAAUCCAGCAAAAGAGGAGGCAUCUGCGAGCCCUGGAACAAAAAAUCAUGGAAAGCGGUGAGGCAUCAGUUGCUAAUGCUUCUAUGGUGGAUAUGCAGCAGACUAUUACGAAGUUGACAGCUCAAUGCAAUGAGAAGGCUUUUGACUUAGAGUUAAAAUCGGCCGAUAAUCGUGUCCUUCAGGAGCAGCUACAACAGAAGAGUAUGGAAAUCAAUGAUUUACAAGAAAAAGUUCUACGCCUUGAGGCACAGCUCAUACCGAAAACCAACAUAUCCCCUGAACAAUGCACACAUCAGGAGAUUCUUGAUUUGAAAUCUAAACUUCAGUCCAAGGAAGUUGAAACUGAGAAGCUUAAAUACCAGCAUCUGGAAGUGAUUGAAGAAAAUCGAGACCUAAUCAAUCAGAACCACAAAUUAAGUGAGGAAGCUGCUUAUGCAAAAGAAUUGGCAUCUUCUGCAGCUGUUGAGCUUAAGAAUUUGGCUGAAGAAGUUACAAAGCUAUCGAUACAAAAUGCAAGGCAGGCAAAGGAGUUAUUAAUCUCCCAGGAGAUGGCACAUUCCAGGGUUCCUGUUAGAAAGGGGCGCCCAGCAGGUAGGGGCAGGGAUGAAGUUGGGACCUGGAGUCUUGAUUUAGAGGAUAUGAAGAUGGAGCUACUGGCGCGAAAAAAGAGGGAAGCUGCUCUAGAAGCAGCUUUGGCAGAGAAGGAGCUUCUUGAAGAGGAGUACAAGAAGAAGUUUGAUGAAGCAAAGAAAAAAGAGCUUUCUCUAGAAAAUGAUCUAGCAGGCAUGUGGGUUCUUGUUGCUAAGUUGAAGAGAGGGGCUUUCAGCAUAUCUGAUUUAAACGUUGAUGACCGGUCUAUCAAUCUAGCUGACAUAACUAAUGAUGCAAAGGAAAACAAAGGUGACACAAAUGUAGCUUUAGUUGAGAAACAAGUGUCAGAUGAUACUGUGAAGUCAUUGACUGCAGAAGAAUAUAGAAGUCCAGAAUUUGAACCUCUUCUUGUUCGUCUCAAGGCUAAAAUUCAAGAGAUGAAGGAGAAGGAAACUGACCCCCUGAGUGAUAAAGAUGGCAAUUCCCAUGUCUGCAAAGUAUGUUUUGAAUCCGCAACUGCUGCAGUUUUGCUUCCUUGUCGGCAUUUUUGCUUGUGCAAGCCUUGCGCACUUGCCUGUUCGGAAUGCCCUCUGUGCCGCACACGAAUCGUAGACAGGAUAAUUACCUUCACAUAGAUCACUUGUUAGCCUAAGGAAACUUUUGACACACCCAAUCUCUCCAUGUAAAAUCACCAACCUUAUAUGUUUCUUUUUCUGUGUAGCAAAGAAGGUUACUUUUAUGUUCCUUCUAUGUUGUAUUGCCAUUCGUUUGAUUUCCCUAUAUGGCUUUACCUUGGCUCCUUGUUGUAUUGAGAAGUUCAGUGACUUCUCGACAAAUGUGUAUAGAUAUGUGACUCAACAUUGUCCUCAAGUAAAGCAAAUUGAUGUGGCAAUACAUAUUUUUUUCUUAUCUUUCAGAAGUAAACGAUGAACAUGAGAUCCUCAAGCUGAUGCAGUUAAUUAUUUUCCUGUUGUUU
rnacentral:rRNA from 1 species